rnacentral:misc_RNA from 1 species
UCUGCUUCUCAAUCUUCUUCAAGUUCUGUCCACGCCUCUGCUGCUGCUACUGCUGUGCCUAUCUCUUCCGCUGCCUCCGUCGGAGCUGCCAAUAUUGUCAAGUCCCCGCAGGAUACCGCUCCAGGUGCAGAGCAUGCUAUAGAUUUGCAUGAUUGGAAAGUUCACUUGCAGCCUGACUCACGACAAAGAAUUGUCAACAAGAUGGCAGAAACUGUAAGGAGGUAUCUGCUAUUUUCGGGUGAAGAGGGACUGCUAGAAAUCAAGAAAAUUGCAGCAAAGUUUGAGGAAGAGAUUUAUGAUGC